GUGGAUAUUCCCAGUCUUGAUCAUCUGGGAAAAAAGUAGGUCUUCAGACAGAAAGACAUGCUUCAGAAGGCAAGAUUGCCAGGGAGCGGACAGCUGCUAACCAGCUCACUAUCUUUGGGACAUCACACUGAAUUCAGAGGAGAGAUGGUCUCUGCCAUGGCGUGGGGGUCCAUGAACCAAGGAGCAGGACUUCCUAGAGGAACCUGAUGUGGUCUAAAGAAUGCAAGAGCUACUUCAGACUCAACCAAGUAGUGGUCCUGAUGCAGCUGCUGUGCUGGAUGUGAUGUCACUGCUAGAGCAGGUUAGUAAGGCCUCAGGCACAUGGUAUGUGGCUGUAGAUUUGGUGAGUGGAUCCUACUUUAUUCCAGUUAGAAAAGUGGAGGUGGAAUGAUUAGCAUGCACAUGGAAGGAACAACAUUUAUUUCUAGUUUGCCUCAGGUUUUCUUUAACGCUCCUGCCCUCUACAAUAUAGUCCUUUUUUUUUUUUUUUUUUACAGAGGAAGAUUUACCCUGAGCUAACGUCUGUUGCCAAUAUUCCUCUUUCUUUCUUUCUGUUUUUUUUUUCAUGUGAACCACCACCACAGCAUGGCCACUGACAGAUGAGUGGUGUAGUUCUGUGCCCAGAAACUGAACCUGGGCCACUGAGGUGGAGCACACCAAACGUAACCACUAGGCCACUGAGGUUGACCCUAUAACAUAGUCUUAAGAGUUCUGAACCUCCUGGAUAUUCUGUAGAAUAUCACAUGAGUUCAUUUCAUUGACAACCCCAUGUUGAUUGGGAUGGAUGAGUAUGCUGGAGGCCUUGGUCAAACACAUGCACUCCAGAGGGUGGAAGAUAAACUUGACAAAGACUCAGGGAGUGGCCACCUCAGUUUGGUUCUAGAGGCCCAGUGGUUAGGGGCAUGGAGGGAUGUCGCUUCCAAAGUAAAUGACAAACUGUUGAUCUUGCAUCCCUCACUGCAAAGAAGGAAGCACACUACCUGGUAUGCCUUUUUGGGUUCUAACAACAACAGCCUAGGUAACAUUCCACCCCUAGGUACAUUAUUUGGCUCAUACUCUGGGUGACAUAGAAGGAUGCCAGCUUUGAGUGGAGCUUGGACAUUAAAGGCACUGCAGUAGAUCCAGGCCAUGGUGAAAGCAGCCACCAUUCAUCAGAUCCAAUGGUGUUGGAGGUGUCAGUGGUGGGAAAGAUGCCAUGUGGAGCUAAAGGCAAAUACCAGUGGGAGAAUCAUAUGCUGCCUCCUGGGAUUCUGAAGGAAGGCCAUGCCAUCUGCAGCAGAGAAAUAUACCCUCUUUUAGAAGCAACUUUAGGUGUGUUAUUGAGCGCUGAGAAGACAAAACUUGACUAUGGGACACCAAGCAGCCUUGUGAUUAAAAAUGAUCAUAUGCGCUGGGUUCUGCCUAAUUCUCUAAGUCAUCAAUUGGGCAGGUCCACAAAAGCCCAUCGUAAGAUGGAAAUGAUAUAUCUAUGGUUAAGCCAGAAUCAUAUGUUCACACCCACCAGAAAACAUCCACUUCUGAAGAGGCACUGAACAGCCAAGAAGAUAAAUUAACCUUAUCCAGCCUCUAUCAUUGAUCAAUCCAGGACUGCCAGGAUGGGCACAUGAAUGGAGUGACCAAGAUGGCAGAGAUGAGACUCCAUAUGGGUCCAGCAGCAGUGACUCCCACUUACCAAGGCUGUUCCAGCUACUGCCACCUCUGAAUGUCCAUCAUGUCAGCAUUAAACCAAUAUUGGGCCCUAAUAUAGCACUAUUUCUUUAGGUGACCAACUAGCCACCAAGUGACAAGUUGACUAGAGCAAGCCCCUUCCAUCCUGGGAGGGCCAGAAGUUCAUCUCCACAGGGAUAGACACCUAUUCCAUGUGUGGCUUUUCUUUCCCUGUCCUCAGAACUUCAGCCAGCAGAACUAUGGGGCCUAUCGAAAUGUUGGAUCCACAGGCUUGAAAUUGUUGUAGCACAGUAUCCAAUAAGAGGGACUUACCUCACAAUGAAAGAGGUACAGGAUGGGCUAUGACCAGGGAAUCCACUGGUCAUAUCAUUACCGCCUACAAACAUAGCUUCCUUACCUGCCACACAUGAGGGGUGAAAUAAAAACUGGAAUGCCAGGCUUAUGGCAAGGAAAGGCUUUUUAUUUUGGAUGACAUCAGCCAGGAGAUGAGACUGAGCCCCCAAAUUUGUCUUGUUUCAUCUCGUCUCCUAGAAAGAGGAAAGGUGAGGGGUUUUAAAGGUUUGUGAGGAAUGUGGCUGCUUGUAGAGAGGCAGGGGGCAUCAGUGGCCUUGCUGGUCGGAGCUUUCCCACCAGCCUGCAUUCAGCCUUGGGAUGCUGUUUGCAGGGAGGAGGAGAAGAUGAUAAGGAAUCCAGGUGGGUGACCUUGGCUAUUUGUCUCCAUGGCAGAUAGUGGAUUCUGGAGCCAGGGAUCCAGGGAGUAAGCAGGAUAAGAGUGCUUUAGUUUUAGCCCCAUAUAUGCUGGGUUUAAUGUAGGGGAACUGAUAUCAGGGCCAGCAUCAAUAUCACAAUCUACACCAUCCAGGGGCUGCCGGCCACACAGAAUGCUGGACAGGCCUUCUGAAGGUGCAUCUGAUGCACCAGCUUUGAGGAAAUGCCCUGAAGAGAUGGGUUUACAUUUCUUGAAUCAGAAAACUCUAUAUGGUGUCGUGUUCUCAAUUUGAAGAGUAGGUGGGUACAGGAACUGAGGAGUGGAGGCAGGUGUGUCCAUACUUACCACCACUUCCGAUCAUCCACUGGGGGAUUUUGUACUUCCUGUCUCCACAGUUCUGGUCUCUGCAGGGUGGGAGGGAUAUUAUGAUUGUCACGAGGGAAGUUGGACUCUAUGUGCCUGGAGACCAUUACUCAAGGGAGGAGUAAUUGAUCCUGAUCUGCAGGAGGGGGUGGGGCUGUGUCACACAUGGGGGCAGGAGGAAUACACGUGUAACAUGGGUGAUAGGCUUGGGUGCCUCUUGAUUCCUCCUUGCUCCACUGUGACUGGACCCAUGUAGCAACCUAGUCUGAGAAGGUUUGAGUUCCAAAGGCCCAGACCUCUCAGAUAGGAAGGGUCAUAUUAGGUCACAUCCUCCAGGUAAGCCACAAGGACCCCCCACUCCUGUGCUCUGAAAUCCAUGGCAACAUUUGUGCAGAGACCUGCUUCCCAUGGGCUGUUCCCAGAAUGACUACUCACAGCAGGGACACUAAGAUAGGCCAUUUCUUGGAGAUAUGGAGCUCUUCCAAAGGCCAAAUGUGGGUUCAGGACUCCCUAUGGCCUUGCUCAACUUCAGUUAGAUUGCCUGGUGGUCCAAGAUACCCACAACAAACCUUUUCUCCUGACCAUCACUGGGGGUCAGACUUGCAUAUUUGUCUGCUGCCUUUCCCAGUGUUUUCUGGCUCCCUCUCCAUAUCCUCUGGUGGGUGUUUCCACUAAUAAAAUACUGCUGAGUUUAAUGCCAUGUUGGCCUCUGCUUCUUGGAGGGCUUGGACUAACAAAAUCAUUUCAUUUGUAUACCAACGACCUAUUACUUAGUCUCUCUUGUGAAAUCCUUCUCUUUACCCAAGUUCUCCCACCAGCAUCUGCUCCAUUUUGCUUGUCCUUGUAUUACCUCUUUGAGGUAGUAGAUGUUGUUGUUUUAAGCCACUAAACUCUGGGGUGACUUGUUACCCAGCAAUAGAUAACUAACAACUCUCUCUUAAGUUUCUGUUCAUCUACAUCUCUUAUAUUUCCUUGAACUUGGAAAUAUCCUCUCUUCUCACUGUUUCCAACUAUCUCCUGUUCUCUCUCUUAUUUUCUUUUUCUUUUCUCCUUCCUUACUUCUCUCUCUCCCACCUUCCUCCCUUUUUCCUUUUUUGUUUUUUGUUUUGUUUUGUUUUGUUUUUGCUGAGGAAGAUUCCCCUGGACUAACAUCUGCUGCCAAUCUUCCUCAUUUUUGUAUGUGAGCCACCGUCAAAUGGCCAUUGACUGACGAGUGGUGUAGGUCCACACCUGGGAACCUAAUUCAGGUCACUGAAGUGGAGCAUGCAAAACUUAACCAGUAGGCCACUGGGGCUGGCCUCCUUUUUUCCUUUUAAUUAUAUAAGAACUUGAGCAUAUAAAAUGACACUUUGUGGUUACAUUUAAGGGAAGCAUUAUCUGGACCUAUAUGCUGAAAGUAUAAUGCCAACGUAUAUUGAGUAAAAGCGAAUAAAGUUAUUAAUAGAAUCUAAAAAAAAAUGCCUGGUUGAUUCUGCAGCCAAGGCAGUGGCUUUCAACUACUAAUUACUUCCAUUCAACUGAGCUUUUUAUUGUCAGAACAAUUACAUUGGCAACAUGAACACUUACACAUUCCUGGUAGAAAUCUAAAUUGGUCCAAGUACUUUGGAAAUCAAAUUAGCAUUAUCUAGUAUGGUUAAAGUACACACUCCAUAUAAUCCAGCAAUCCUGCUUCUGAUCAUACACUCUGGGGAAUUUCUUGCCUAUGUGCACCAGGAGACAUGUACACUAAUAUUUAUGGCAAAAACUGGAAUAACCACAUAUGCAUGAACAGGAAAAUGGAAAAAUUGUGGUAUAAUUAUAAAAUGUAAGACUUCAGCAGUAAAAAUAAAUGAAUGACAGACUCACACAUGAGAGGGAACUCUCCUACAUAAAGCUGAGCAUGAAGAACCCAUGCAGUACAAGUUCACUGUAUAAGAAGUUCAAAAACAGGCAAAACUGGAUCUUGUCAAGAUGGCGGUGUAAGCAGACUCUGAACUCAUCUCCUCCCAUGAACACAACCAGGUUACAACUAUUUUUUGGAAAAAUUACCCUGGGUAGAAAACUGAAAACUGGAUAAAAAGAACCCCCAUGGGGCUGGCCCAGUGGAGCAGUGGUUAAGUGUGUGCAGUUGGCUUUGGCAGCCCUGGGUUCGCUGCUUCGGAUCCUGGGUGUGGACAUGGCACUGCUUGGCAAGCCAUGUUGUGGUAGGCGUCCCAUAUAUAAUGUAGAGGAAGAUGGGCAUGGAUGUUAGCUCAGGGCCAGUCUUCCUCAGCAAAAAGAGGAGGAUUGACAGCUGUUAGCUCAGGGCUAAUCUUCCUCAAAAAAAAAAAAAAAAAAAAAAAAGAACCCUCACAGCAAGUGAUAGUCCUGACUAAGGCAGAAGAGGCAGAAAUUCCUGCUGGAGAGGAAAAACACCAUCUUUGGGAGCAGCAGAGCUUCUCAGCUGGCCAGGUGGGAAAUACCCUAAGGUACGCAGCCCUCUUUGGAGGAGUGAGGUCUGGAGCGGGGGCCGAUACUGCUAUAAGCAUCCUUCAGACUCAGCCCAAUUGAGAUGAGGGUCUUACUGUCCGGCUUCGCUGGCUAUUAACUGCAGCGAGGAUACCCCCAGAAAAGCUAUUGGCCGAAAGCUGAAAAGACCCAGGUCUUAAAGGGCCCAUGCACAAACUCACUCAUUGCAGCAGCUAAAAUCACCAGAGAGAAGGCUGACAGUCCUUUGGUGAAACAAGAUUCACCUGGUGGGCUCUGGGGGCAUCUUGGUGAGAGGAGGGACCUCUCUGGAGACUGAGACAUUGGUGAGGGCCAUUAUUCUGACCUGGUCCAGGUGUGCUGACACAGACACCCGUGGGCACCAUGGAUGUUCUUCCCUUGGCCUGUUAGCCCAGGGGUUUGUCACACCCACUAGAGCACAGAUUUAAUCCAUUUCAGCCAGGGUAGGCAGCCUGCCCUAGGGAAUGACCCCAUCCAACAGCAAGCCCUCAUGCUACUUUUCGGCCUGCAUUGAGUGAGUGCCUUGAUCCUCUACAGGCAGGCGAGUGUGUCCGCCUCUGUGGGGCAGGGCCUAUGUGAGGACCAGGUGAACCGUGGGGGGCAUUGGUGGAGAGGCGGGGGCCUCUGCAGUGUGGCAUUGGGGUAUGCUCCAGAGGGUUGGGAAGUGCACAGACCAGGACUGUGUUGAUGGUGUGUGACCUGUGGGGUGUGAUGCUUAUCAGCAGCAGAAGACCUGUCCUUCACAAAUAGCCAUAAAAAGGAUCAGCCCCACCUUCCAAAGCCUGAAACAAUUGAGUGCUCCCAUGCCUAGGGCCAGCCCCACUCAGCUGCACUCCUAAGAGAACUGACACCAGCCUUGCAGGCCUAAGGCCUAUUGCAACCAUAAGCCCCUGAGCCUAGCAACCAGCUACACCGGGUACCAACCCAGUUAAGAUGAAAAUUGCAAUAGGAGUGUGCUGAUAGACUUUGUAGGCAACAGUGCUGAGGCUCCCCAAACCAGAUUUACGAAUAGCUUGCAAGGGAAGGAAAGACUAGACUCCCUGGAUACCUGCAGUAAGAGCAACACUCCCUCAGCAGAAAGACAUAAGUAACCCACAAAGGGGUCACUCCUGGAUCAUUUGGGCUGGUGAUGAGAGGGAAGCAUGCUGCUGGGCUUCAUAAGGCAUUUCAUAUGUAAGGCCACUUCUCCAAGAUCAGAAGACAUAGCCGACUCACCUAAUAUGUAGAAAUAAGCACAGAGAGGGGCUGGCCCCAUGGCCGAGUGGUUAAGUUCGUGUGCUCUGCUGCAGGUGGCCCAGUGUUUUGUUGGUUCGAAUCCUGGGCAUGGACAUGGCACUGCUCAUCAAACCACGCUGAGGCAGCAUCCCACAUACCACAACUAGAAGGACCCACAAUGAAGAAUAUACAACUAUGUACCGGAGGGCUUUGGGGAGAAAAAGGAAAAAAUAAAAUUAAAAAGAAAAGAGAGAAGCACAGAGAAAGAGGCAUAAUGAGGAGACAAAGGAAUACUUUCCAAGCAAGGGAACAGGACAAAACCCCAGAAAAAGGACUAAAUGAAACAGAAAUAAGCAACCUACUCAACAAAGAGUUCAAACAAAAUAUCAUAAGGAUGCUUACAGAUAUUGGGAGAAGACUGGAUGACUACAGUGAACUCAUCAGCAAAGAACUGGAAAAUAUAAAAAAGAACCAAUCAGAAAUGAAGAAUACAAUACUGGAAAUGAGAAAUUCACUAGAGGGACUCAAUAGCACAGUAGAGGAUGCACAAGAAUGGGUCAGCAAGCUAGACGAAAGUCUGGAGGAAAUCACCCAAGCUGAACAGAAAAAAGAAAAAUAAAUCAGACAGAAUGAGAACAGUCUAAGGGAACUCUGGAACAAUAUCAAGCAUGCUAACAUUUGGAUUGUAGGUGUCCCAGAAGGAGAAGAGAGAGACAAAGGGGCAGAAAAUUUAUUUGAAGAAGCAAUAGAUGAAGAUUUUCCUAACCUGAGGAAGGAAACAGACAUCCAAGUAGAGGAAGCACAGAGAGCUCCAAACAAGAUAAGCCCAAAGAGGCCCACACCAAGGCACAUUAUAAUUAAAAUGUCCAAAAUUAAAGAUAAAGAGAGAAUCCUAAAAGCAGCAAGAGAAAGGCCACAAGUGACAUACAGAGGAAAGCCCAUGAGGCUAUCAAUGGACUUCUCAGCCAAGACCCUACCAGCGAGAAGAGAAUGGCAUGACAUAUUUAAAGUGCUAAAAGGAAAAAACCUACAGUCAAGAAUACUCUAUCCGUCAAGGUUGUCAUUCAGAAUGGAAGGAGAGAUAAAGAGCUUCCCAGACAAGCAAAAAUUAAAGGAGUUUAUCACCAAGAAACCAGUUCUACAAGAAAUGCUGAAGGGACUUAUUUAAGUGGGAAACUGAUGACCACAAAUAGAGAUAAAAAACAUUAUCAAAAAAACUGCCCAAAAAACCUAGGCAAUAAAACCAAAUGUAAUGGUAAUAAUAUAGUAAAGGUAGCAGAUCAACUACCUGUGAAGAUAAUAUGAAGGUUAAAAGACAAAUGUACUAAAAUCAUCUAUUUCAAUGGUAAGAGGGUAAUGGAUAGACACACACUAAACAAGAGACUAUAUAUGAUUUCAUAAACAUAAAAUGUGGGAGGAGGGGAGUGAAAAAGUAGAGCUUUUAGAAAGAGGUCAAGCUAAAGAAUCUAUCAACUCGAUAUAGACUGUUAUAUACAUAGAAUAUUAAAUAGGAUCCUCAUGGUAAGCACAAAUCAGCAACCUAUAAUAAGUAAGCAAAAAAGUAAGACAAAAGAAAUCAAAUAUAUUACUAAAGAAAGCCAUCAAACCACAAGGGAAGAGAGCAAGAGAAAAAGAAAGGAACAGAGAAGAAAUACUAAAACACCGAGAAAAAAAGGUAAAAAAAUGGCAAUAAAUACAUAUUUAUCAAUAGCUACUUUAAGCGUCAAUGGACUAAAUGCUCCAAUCAAAUGCCAUAUGGUGGCAACUGGAUAAAAAAACAAGAUCCAUGUAUAUGCUGCAUACAAGAGACACACUUCAGACCUAAGACACUCACAAACUGAAAGUGAAAGGAUGGAAAAAGAUAUUCCAUGCAAAUGGCAAAGAAAAGAAAGCAGGGGUAGCAAUACUUAUGUCAGACAAAAUAGACUUUAAAAGAAAAACUGUAACAAGAGACAAAGACAGGCACUACAUAAUGAUAAGGGCAACAAUCCAACAAGAAGAUAUAACACCUUGUAAAUAUCUAUGCACCCAACAUAGGAGCACCUAAAUAUAUAAAGCAAUUAUUAACAGACAUAAAAGGAGAAAUAGACAGUAACACAAUAAUAGUAGGGGACUUUAACACUCCACUUACACCAAUGGAUAGAUCAUCCAAACAGAAGAUCAAUAAGGAAACACUGGCCUUAAACGACACAUUAGACCAGAUGGACUUAGUAGACAUAUACAGAACAUUCCCAAAAACCACAGAAUUCACAUUCUUUUCAAAUGCACAUGGAACAUUCUCCAAGACUGAUCACAUAUUAGGCCACAACACAAGUCUCAAUAAAUUUAAGAAGAUCGAAACAAUACCAUGCGUCUUUUCUGACCACAAAAGUAUGAAACUGGAAAUCAACUACAGGAAGAAAACCAGAAAAGCCACAAAAAUGUGGAGAUUAAACAAAAUGCUACUGAACAAUGAUUGGGUCAAUGAAGAAAUCAAAGGAGAAUCAAAAAAUUCCUGGAGACAAAUGAAAAUGAAUAUAUGACAUGCCAAAAUCUGUGGGAUACAGCAAAAGCAGUUCGAAGAGGGAAGUUUAUAGCAAUUCAGGCCUACCUCAACAAAGAAGAAAAAUCCCAAAUAGACAAUCUAAAAGUGCAUCUAAAGGUACUGGAAAAAGAACAACAAACAAAGCCCAAAAUCAGCAGAAGGAAGGAAAUAAUAAAAAUCAGAGCAGAAAUAAACGAAAUAGAG
rnacentral:lncRNA from 1 species